GGUGGGGGGAGGGGCGCUCACGCAACCGCCACUGUCUGGAGCGGGCUCGCCUCUGCGGCGGCACUCACCGCCCGGGCUUUACUGAAGCGGAGUCUAGCAUGUGCGGCUGCUCCACAGCGGUGUGGGUGGCGGCGGCUCCUCUGCAGCAGCCUCGGCAGUAGGGGUCACGGUGGCCAAGCCCACCGUGGAGCUCAUCUGAGAGUUGUAAGGUACGGGACUGCCUCGGUCUUUGGGACGCCCCGUCUGGUAGCAUCCCAGAUCCAGCACGUUCCUUCCGGCCCUGCACCCCGGCCCGGUGCCUCACACCCCGCUACCCCAUGCAUCCAGACUCUAAGGCAGCCCCUGCAUCUCAGUCCUGACAUCGCUGUCCCUGGAGCAUCCUCCGCUGGAGCUGGAGCUUGACAGCCAAGACAAUCCAAAGCAAAAAGAACACAGCUGGAGGCAUCACGCUACCUGACUUCAAACUAUACUGCAAGGCUACAGUAACCAAGACAGCAUGGUACUAGUACCAAACAGAUAUCUAGACCAAUGGAAUGGAACAGAGGCUGCAGAAAUAACACCGCACACCUACAACCAUCAGAUUUUUGACAAACCUGACAAAAACAAGCAAUGGGGAAAGGAUUCCCUAUUUAAUAAAUGAUGUUGGGAAAGCUGGCUAGCCAUAGGCAGAAAACUGAAACUGGACCCCUUCCUUACACCUUAUACAAAAAUUAACUCAAUUUUAUUAUGUUGUAUUAAAUUAAGUUGGAUUUAAUUAAGAUGGAUUAAAGACUUAAUUAUAAGACCUAAAACCAUAAAAACCCUAGAAGAAAACCUAGGCCAUACCAUUCAGGACACGGGUAUGGGCAAAGACUUCAUAACUAAAACACCAAAAGCAAUGGCAACGAAGUCCAAAUAGACAAAUUGGACCUGAUUAAACUAAAGAGCUUCAGCACAGCAAAAAAGACUAUCGUCAGAGUGAACAGGCAACCUACAGAAUGGAAGAAAAUUAUUGCAAUCUAUCCAUCUGACAAAGGGCUAAUAUCCAAAAUCUACAAAGAACUUAAACAAAUUUACAAGAAAAAACACAAACAACCCCAUCAAAAAGUGGGGUAAGGAUGUGAACAGACACUUCUCAAAAGAAAACAUUAAUGCAGCCAACAAACAUGAAAAAAAGCUCAUCAUCACUGCUCAUUAGAGACAUGCAAAUCAAAACCACAAUGAGAUACCAUCUCACACCAGUUAGAAUGGCAAUCAUUAAAAUGUCAGGAAACAACAGAUGCUGGAGAGGAUGUGGAGAAAUAGGAACACUUUUACACUGUUGGUGGGAGUGUAAAUUAGUUCAACCGUUGUGGAAGACAGUGUGGCCAUUCCUCAAAGACCUAGACACAUAAUUGUCAGAUUCACCAAAGUUGAAAUGAAGGAAAAAAUGUUAAGGGCAGCCAGAGAGAAAAGUCAGGUUACCCACAAGGGGAAGCCCAUCAGACUAACAGCUGAUCUCUCAGCAGGAACUCUACAAGCCAGAAGAGAGUGGGGGCCAAUAUUCAACAUUCUUAAAGAAAAUAAUUUUCAACCCAGAAUUUCAUAUCCAGCCAAACCAAGCUUCAUAAGUGAAGGAGAAAUAAAAUACUUUACAGACAAGCAAAUGCCGAGAGAUUUUGUCACCACCAGGCCUGCCCUAAAAGAGCCCCUGAAGGAAGCACUAAAAAUGGAAAGGAACAACCGGUACCAGCCACUGCAAAAACAUGCCAAAUUGUAAAGAUCAUCAAUGCUAGGGAGAAGCUGCAUCAACUAAGGAGCAAAAUAACCAGCUAACAUCAUAAUGACAAGAUCAAAUUCACACAUAACAAUAUUAACCUUAAAUGUAAAUGGGCUAAAUGCUCCAAUUAAAAGACACAGACUGGCAAAUUGGAUAAAGAGUCAAGACCCAUCAGUGUGCUGUAUUCAGGAAACCCAUCUCACGUGCAGAGACACACAUUGGGUCAAAAUAAAGGGCUGGAGGAAGAUCUACCAAGCAAAUGGAAAAGAAAAAAAGGCAGGGGUUGCAUUCCUAGUCUCUGAUAAAACAGACUUUAAACCAACAAAGAUCAAAAGAGACAAAGUAGGCCAUUACAUAAUGGUAAAGGGAUCAAUUCAAUAAGAAGAGCUAACUAUCCUAAAUAUAUAUGCACCCAAUACAGGAGCACCCAGAUUCAUAAAGCAAGUCCUUAGAGACCUACAAAGAGACUUAGACUCCCCACACAAUAAUAAUGGGAGACUUUAAUAUCCCACUGUCAAUAUUAGACAGAUCAAUGAGACAGAAAAUUAACAAGGAUAUCCAGGAAUUGAACUCAGCUCUGCACCAAGUGGACCUAAUAGACAUCUACAGAACUCUCCACCCCAAAUCAACAGAAUAUACAUUCUUCUCAGCACCACACUGCACUUAUUGCAAAAUUGACCACAUAGUUGGAAGUAAAGCACUCCUCAGCAAAUGUAAAAGAACAGAAAUCACAACAAACUGUCUCUCAGACCACAGUGCAAUCAAACUAGCACUAAGGAUUAAGAAACUCCCUCAAAACCACUCAACUACAUGGAAAAUGAACAACUUGCUCCUGAAUGACUACUGGGUACAUAACAAAAUGAAGGCAGAAUAAAGUUGUUCUUUGAAACCAAUGAGAACAAAGACACAACAUACCAGAAUCUCUGGGACACAUUCAAAGCAGUGUGUAGAGGGAAAUUUAUAGCACUAAAUGCCCACAAGAGAAAGCAGGAAAGAUCUAAAAUUCACACCUUAACAUCACAAUUAAAGGAACUAGAGAAGCAAGAGCAAACACAAUCAAAAGUUAGCAGAAGGCAAGAAAUAAGUAAGAUCAGAGCAGAACUGAAGGAAAUAGAGACACAAAAAACCCUUCAAAAAAUCAGUGAAUCCAGGAGCUGG
ensembl:lncRNA novel transcript